GACGAACGCUGGCGGCGCGCUUAACACAUGCAAGUCGAACGGUGAACCGGGCUUCGGCCCGGGGAUCAGUGGCGAACGGGUGCGUAACACGUGGGCAACCUGCCCCUCACUCUGGGAUAACCCCGGGAAACCGGAGCUAAUACCGGAUACUCCGACCGGUCCGCAUGGUCCGAUCGGGAAAGGUCCGCCGGUGAGGGAUGGGCCCGCGGCCUAUCAGCUUGUUGGUGAGGUAACGGCUCACCAAGGCGACGACGGGUAGCUGGUCUGAGAGGACGACCAGCCACACUGGGACUGAGAUACGGCCCAGAUUCCUACGGGAGGCAGCAGUGGGGAAUCUUGCGCAAUGGGCGAAAGCCUGACGCAGCGACGCCGCGUGGGGGACGAAGGCCCUCGGGUUGUAAACCCCUUUCGGCAGGGACGAAGCGAUCGUGACGGUACCUGCAGAAGAAGCCUCGGCUAACUACGUGCCAGCCGCCGCGGUAA
rnacentral:rRNA from 1 species